CCCUGCUAUGCCCGACGUCCUGCCAUGGCCAUGUCUGACAUCGUUCCAUGGCCGCGUCUGACGUCGGGCCAUGGCCAUGCCCUGCCCCGUCUGAUGUCUUGCCAUGGCCAUGUAAUCCCUCGUGCCAUGUCUUGCCAUGUCCUGCGUCGUGCCAUGGCCAAGACCUGCCACGUCCGGCAUCGUGCCAUGGCCGCGUCUGACAUCGUGCCAUGGCCGCGUCUGACAUCGUGCCAUGGCCGCGUCUGACAUCGUACCAUGGCCGCGUCUGACAUCGUCCACGCCCUGCCUGGUACUGGCAUUGCUCAUGGCAGCAUCUGGUUUUUGGCAACGGAAUGAUGGAGCGUCAUGCGCACGGUGCCGCAAGGUGCCAUGCGUGUGGGGCUAAGCUCAGUACAUGUCGAAUGUUGUAUGGUUAUUAUGGGUUGUGUCUGUGCCUUUAACUUGUGGCGCCUUCUUCGUGCGGGCUUCUUCACCGACCUUGAUCUUCUUUUGAACUAUGCCUGAGUAGGGCGAAGCUAGAGGAAACUCUGGUAGAGGCCCGCAGCGAUACUGACAUGCAAAUUGUUCGCCUGACUUGGGUAUAGGGGCGAAAGACUAAUCGAACCGUCUAGUAGCUGGUUCCCUCCGAAGUUUCCCUUAGGAUAGCUAGAGCUCGCAUGCGAGUUCUAUCAAGUAAAGCCAAUGUUUAGAGGCAUGGGGGCCGCAAUGCCCUCGACCUAUUCUCAAACUUUAAAUAGGUAGGACGGUGCGACUGCUUUGUUGAGCCACACCACAGAAUCAAGAGCUCCAAGUGGGCCAUUUUUGGUAAGAAGAACUAGCGAUGCGGGAUGAACCGGAAGUCAGGUUAUAGUGCCAAACUACGCGCUAACCUAGAUCCCACAAAGGAUGUUGGUCGAUUAAGACAGCAGGACGGUGGUCAUGGAAGUCAAAAUCCGCUAAGGAGUGUGUAACAAAUCACCUGCUGAAUCAACUAGCUCCAAAAAUGGAUGGCGCUUAAGCGCGUGACUUACACCCGGACGUCGGGGCAAGUUCCAAGCCUCGAUGAGUAAGAGGGCGCGGCGGUCACUGUAAAACCUUAGGCGUGAGUCUGGGCAGAGCGGCCUUCAGUGCAGAUCUUAGUGGUAGUAGCAAAUAUUCAAAUGAGAACUUUGAAAGCCGAAGAGGGGAAAGGAUCCAUGUGAACGUCACUUUCACAUGGGUUAGUCAAUCCUAAGGGUCGGGGGAACCCUGACAGAUAGCACGUUUUACGCGUACUCUGAAAGGGAAUCAGGUUAAAAUUCCUGAACUAGGGCGUGGCGGUUGACGGCAACAUUAGGAAGUCCGACGACGUUGGCGGGGGCCUCGGGAAGAGUUAUCUUUUCUGUUUAACAACCUGCUCACCCUGGAAAUUACUCAGUCGAAGGUAGGGUCCAGCGGCUGGAAGAGCACCGCACGUCGCGUGGUGUCCGGUGCGCCCCCGGCGGCCCUUGAAAAUUUGGAGGACCGAGUGUCGUCCAUGCCCGGUCAUACUCAUAACCGCAUCAGGUCUCCAAGGUGAACAUCCUCUGGUCGAUGGAACAAUGUAGGCAAGGGAAGUCAACAAAAUGGUUCCGUAACUUCGGAAAAAGGAUUAUCUCUAAGGGUUGGGGACAGGGGUCCCAGUCGUGAACCCAUCGGCUAUCGGCGGACUGCUCGAUCUGCUCCUGCGGCGAGAGCGGGUCACCGCAUGCUGGCCGGGGAACGGACUGGAAACGGCUCCUUCAGGGGCCUUCCCCGGGCGUCGAAAAACAAACUUAGAACUGGUACGGACAAGGGGAAUCUGACUGUUUAUUUAAAACAAAGCAUUGCGAUGAUCCCUGCGGAUGUUUAUGCAAUGUGAUUUCUGCCAAUGCUCUGAAUGUCAAAGUGAAGAAAUUCAACCAAGCGCGGAUAAACGAUGGGAGUAACUAUGACUCUUUUAAGGUAGCCAAAUGUAUCGUCAUCAAAUUAGUGACGCACAUGAAUGGAUUAACGAGAUUCCCACUAUCCUUGUAUACUAUCCAGCAAAAUCACAGUCAAGGGAACGGGCUUGGCAGAAUCAGCAGGGAAAGAAGACCCUGUUAAGCUUGACUCUAGUCCGGCUCUUUGAAAUGACUUGAGAAUCGGGGCACUGCCCCUCUUUUUGGACCCAAAGCUUGCUUGUAGGCCGAUCCGGGCGGAAGACAUUGUUAGGUAGGGAGUUUGGCUUGGGCGACACAUCUGUUAAAAGAUAACGCAGGUGUCCUAAGAUGAGCUCAAUGAGAACAUAAAUCUCGUGUGGAGCAGAAGGGUAAAAGCUCGUUUGAUUCUAAUUUCAAAUACAAAUAGGAACCGUGAAAGCGUGGCCUAACAAUCCUUUAGACCUUCGAAAUUUGAAGCUAUAGGUGUCAGAAAAGUUACCACAGGGAUAACUGGCUUGUGGCACCCAAGCGUUCAUAGAGACGUUGCUUUUUGAUCCUUUGAUGUCGUCUCUACUUAUCAUUGUGAAGCAGAAUUCACCAAGUGUUGGAUUGUUCACCCACCAAUAGGGAACGUGAGCAGGGUUUAGACCGUCGUGAGACAGGUUAGUUUUACCCUACUGAUGAUAGUGUCGCAAUAGUAAUUCAACCUAGUACUAGAGGAACCAUUGAUUAGCACAAUUGGUCAUCGCGCUUGGUUGAAAAUCCAUUAGAAACUCCAUUCAUAAUUUCCAAAGUAUUACAAGUUUAUAGAUAU
rnacentral:rRNA from 1 species